AUCCUGCGUGCUGUUGCUUUUGGUCGUCUGUGAGUGACAGACGUCUCUUGACCUCGCGUGUUGCUUAAGCAUGUAUGAUUAGGUGAAAAAUUUAGCCACAUUACACUCGAUUUUUCUUGGAAAAAAAAUCUACCAGAAAUUGAUCAGUUUGUAUAGUAAUUAUUAAUAAUAAAAUUUUCGGGAAAGCAUAUUUUAUAUUGAUCAAACGUAACAACUAGAAAUUCAAUAAAGACAACACACGAGAGGAUGAAUUUCAAAAUAAGCUUGUUAUUCAUACUUGUUACCUUCAGCAUGUUUAGCACGGUAUACCUGUGUCCAGCAAAAGAGGUAGAAAAACCUUUGCGUCCGACACAAAAGCUUAGGCAGCGUAAUGGUAGACCAAAAAUAUGUGAUCAAAUGUAUCACCCUGGUGAGUGCUUCACAAAGUCGAAGAAGCCGCUUAGCGAAAAGGAUUUUGUAUUCAGAUAUUAUUAUAAUUCAAAUUUGACAACAUGUGUAUCUUUUAUGUGGGGAAUGUGCGGUGGAACUCGAAAUAAUUUUCUAACUUGGGUAGAAUGCAUGGACAUUUGCCAUAACAGUACUGCAGUUUUAACAUUUUGAAGUUUUGAAAAAAUAUAAUUUUGUGUGUGUGUAUACACCUUGGUAAUAAAAUUUUUUACAAUUUCUUAUAUAUUGAUAUAUAUUUGUAAUAAUUUAAAUUUAUAUAGAAAUACUAAAUGAAAAACUUUGCGAAGUUUUUACAAAAUAGUUGUAAAAGUAUUUUAUUUUAACAAUAAGUGACUGUAGUGAAAUGAAAUGUACGGGCAUAUACACAAAAUAUGUUGGAAUAUAUACAUGUAAAUAAAAGAAAGUACUUCUUAAUUAA